UAGGGCUGUAAACGAGCCGAGCCGAGCCGAAUACAAGCAGGCUCGAGCUCGGCUCGUUUAAAUAUUCGGGUGUUCGAGCUCGGCUCGAGCUCGAUUCGAGCUUUUAUCUUGAUGAUCGAGCUCGGCUCGUCACCCACAUACUAAGCUCGAGCUCGGUUCGAGUUCGGCUCGGAUGAUGCUCGAUAAUGUCGAAUUCGAGCUUGAGCUCGAGCUCGGCUCGUUAGAUGUUCGUAUAUAUGAUGUUCAAGCUCGAAUUUGUUAUAAAUUUAAGAAAAUCUUCUUAAUUAAUAUGUUAUUCGAGUUCGAGUUCGACUCGUUUAAGGCUCGUGUACUAACUCGAUUGAAGGCUCGACUGAAGGUUCGUGAACAGGCUCGCGAACAUGUUCGCGAACAAUCGAAUUCGAACAUGUUCGCGAGCUCAACGAGCCGAGCACUGCCAGGCUCGAGCUCGGCUCGAUAAAAAUUUCGAGCUCGAAAUCAGGCUCGAGCUCGGCUCGUUUAUUAUCGAAUCGAGCUCCGAACGAGCUUUUUUCGAGCCGAAUCUCGAAUAGCUCGCGAGUAGCUCUGUUCAUUUACAGCCCUA
rnacentral:lncRNA from 1 species